CGCGUAGGCGGCUUUUCAAGUCAGGGGUGAAAUCCCGGGGCUCAACCCCGGAACUGCCCUUGAAACUGGAUGGCUAGAAUACUGGAGAGGUGAGUGGAAUUCCGAGUGUAGAGGUGAAAUUCGUAGAUAUUCGGAAGAACACCAGUGGCGAAGGCGACUCACUGGACAGUUAUUGACGCUGAGGUGCGAAAGCGUGGGGAGCAAACA
rnacentral:rRNA from 1 species